GAUGAACGCUGGCGGUGUGCCUAAUACAUGCAAGUCGAGCGAACGGACGAGAAGCUUUCUCCUCUGAUGUUAGCGGCGGACGGGUGAGUAACACGUGGAUAACCUACCUAUAAGACUUGGAUAACUUCGGGAAACCGGAGCUAAUACCGGCUGAUAUUUCCAACCGCAUGGUUCAAAAGUUCAAGACGCUCUUGCUGUCACUUAUAGAUGGAUCCGCGCUGCAUUAGCUAGUUGGUAAGGUAACGGCUUACCAAGGCAACGAUGCAUAGCCGACCUGAGAGGGUGAUCAGCCACACUGGAACUGAGACACGGUCCAGACUCCUACGGGAGGCAGCAGUAGGGAAUCUUCCGCAAUGGGCGAAAGCCUGACGGAGCAACGCCGCGUGAGUGAUGAAGGUCUUCGGAUCGUAAAACUCUGUUAUUAGGGAAGAACAUAUGUGUAAGUAACUGUGCACAUCUUGACGGUACCUAAUCAGAAAGCCACGGCUAACUACGUG
rnacentral:rRNA from 1 species